GAAGUAAGCUCCUGGGACCCUUCACACAGGAGGGAAAUUGAGCCCCGGGUGAGUGCCAGACUCAAGGGAAUGGUCUGUGGCGGGAGCAGCAGAGGAAGAUCCUUAGAAGGAGCCACAGAUUGGACCAUAGGAGGCACCAAGAAACUAGGGGUUCCGGAAGGUACCUGUGUUCUUGAGCCCACGCCAGUGAAGACCACUUCACCUGCUUCCCCGUCCCAGAGGGAUAAGCACCCCUUUUUCUCGCUGAUACACUCCAUGGAGCACACGCCUGGACUCCCUCCUUCUUGGCUCUCGGGAAGGUCAGGAAGUCUUCUUUAUACCCAGCUGCUCUCCUUUGCUUUGAUGCUCAAGUCCCAAAGUGGUGCCCACUCUGGGCUUGAGGCCAGCCCUCUCUCAUCAAGGUUGGGAGGAGAGACUUGCCAUCCCGCAGUCUUUCAGCUUCUCUCAUUUUUAACUCUUCUCCCAAACUGUGAUCUCAGGGAGGCUCGGUGAGGCUCACCGGGAUUGGACCCUCUCCCUGGGUAGGGCCAAGCGGGGCACGCGGUACAGUCUGACGGUGAUGUGAGGGCAUGACCCCCCUUGCUCUCUUCCAUCGCACACCCGCACAGUGUACAGACAGCAAACGCUUGUUGCCAGAAUACCUGCAUUAGCCCCGAGGAGGAUAUCCGAGAGCCGCGUGGUAUCAGGACGCCUGUGGCGGGGGAACCUCUGUCCUGGGCGGCUAGUUAUGAAGGGCCGGGGCUCAUACCCGCACAGUGUCCCCUGAGUGCUCUGUCACCCACUGCCAGGGGACCAAGGGAGGGGCCGGCCCUCCACACAGCCCCAGGCAGACUGUUUAUUGCCUCCCUUUAAGACUACAGAUGAUAAGCAUCCAACUUGCCUGAAAGGUCAGAUGAUAUGUGUGUAGGUAUAGAUUCCGGUCACCCAUCCCCUCUCAUCACUGCCUGGGGAUGGAAGCCGGGGGCUGGGGCUGGGGGUGGCAGAGGGGUUAAGAGCAUGGACCUUGGCCACGACAGAGCAGCAUCUGUGUGAGAGUUAGUUCACCAACUGUGUGUGCCCGGGCCGGCUGACUCGCCCUCUGUGACUUAGUUUCCUCAUCUGGUGCUGGUCCCUACUUCAUAGGCUGGUGUGUGGAUUCACUGAGGGGGUGUUUGUGUAGGGUUUGGCAUAGUGUCUGGCCCGUGGGAAGAGCUUAAUCAGUAUUAGCCAGUGGUGUUAUUAGGGUGAACAGGGCCAAGAAGUGUUAGUCGUGGAAGUCUUCCUGGAAGAGGAAAUCCUGGAGCUAGCAUUGGGAGAAGAGGAGGAACACUGUUCCAUGAAAGGGCAGCCUUAGAGCUUCAUGGAUGGUGGAGGACCCACAGAUGGCCGCCCCUGCCUGCUCCCCGACGUGCUUAGGUGGGCCUUGCAGGGCCUGUUCUAUGAAGAAGCAGAGGGAUGUGCCGCCCCAGUGGGGGGAGCCGGCCUCGGGGGUCCUGGACCUGGGGUUCAGUGUGUCAGGUUCAUAUCUCACUACUUCCUGGGCCAGGGCUCAGCUCCCUGUCCUAGGAGGCUGAGCUGUGCCCCCCACCCAAACCCAUCCCCAGAAACUUGGGAUCUGUGAGCUCUGAUCCUCAGCCCCUGGGCUGCUGCAGUGCAAAUCCCAAAACUUCUCUGGACCUUGAUGUCCAUGCCUAUUGAAAUAUGAACAACCGGAGUGGGGAAGGCCCGGGAAGGCAGCUCUGAGCCUCAUUUCCUGGUGCAGGACGGAGAGGGCCAGGGGAGAACGGCUUGGUGGAGGUGUGCAGUGG